rnacentral:rRNA from 1 species
AGUGAACGCUGGCGGUAGGCCUAACACAUGCAAGUCGAACGGCAGCACAGUAAGAGCUUGCUCUUACGGGUGGCGAGUGGCGGACGGGUGAGGAAUACAUCGGAAUCUCCUUUUUCGUGGGGAAUAACGUAGGGAAACUUCCGCUAAUACCGCAUACGUCCUACGGGUGAAAGCAGGGGAUCUUCGGACCUUUCGCGAUUGAAUGAGCCGAGGUCGGAUUAGCUAGUUGGCUGGGUAAAGGCCCACCAAGGCAACGAUCCGUAGCUGGUCUGAGAGGAUGAUCAGCCACACUGGAACUGAGACACGGUCCAGACUCCUACGGGAGGCAGCAGUGGGGAAUAUUGGACAAUGGGCGAAAGCCUGAUCCAGCCAUACCGCGUGGGUGAAGAAGGCCUUCGGGUUGUAAAGCCCUUUUGUUGGGAAAGAAAAGCAGCAGGUUAAUACCCCGCUGUUCUGACGGUACCCAAAGAAUAAGCACCGGCUAACUUCGUG